rnacentral:lncRNA from 12 species
CCCAGUAACUCCCAGUGGCUCUCCCAGCAACCCCCCAGUAGCUCCAAGUAGCUCCCAAUAACUCCCAGCAACUCUUGGAGUGUCCCAGUAACUCCCAGUAGCUCUCCCAGAUACCCUUGGAGCCACCCAGUAACUCCCAGUACCUCUUGGAGACUCCCAGUAGCUCCCAGUAGCUCUCCCAGAUACCUUUGGAGCCUCCCAGUAACUCCCAGUAGCUCCCAGCAGCUCUUGGAGUCUCCCAGUAAUUCCCAGUGGCACUCCCAGCAACCCCUGGAGCCUCCCAGUAACUCCCAGCUGCCCUCCCAGUAACCCCCAGUAGCUCCCAGUAACUCCCAGUAGCUCCAAAUAGCUCCCAGAUGCCCUCCCAGUAACUGCCAGUAGCUCCCAGUAACCCCCAGCAGCCCCCAGUGGCUCUCCCAGCAACACCUGGAGCCUCCCAGUAACUCCCAGUAACUCCCAGUACCUCUUGGAGUGUCCCAGUAACUCCCAGUAGCUCUCCCAGAUACCGGGGGGGGGGGGGGGGGGGGGGGGGGGGGGGGGGGGGGGGGGGGGGGGGGGGGCUCCCAGCAGCUCCCAGUAGCCCCCAGUUGCCCUCCCAGCAGCUCCCAGUAGCCCCCAGUUGCCCUCCCAGUAGCUCCCAGUAGCCCCCAGUUGCCCUCCCAGCAGCUCCCAGUAGCUCCCAGUAGCUCCCAGUAGCCCCCACCUUCUUGUCGGAUUUCUUCUCCCUGCGCUUGACGUGUUUCACCUUCACGGCGCGUUUGCGCAGGACGGGGUCCAGGAACGGCGCGUCCUCGGCGUCACUGAGCCAGGGCUGGGGACACAGGGGACAGCAGGGGACACGCUGCGGUCACGAGGGGACAGCAGGGGACAGCAGGGGACAGGAGGGGACACGAGGGGACAGGAGGGGACAGGAGGGGACACGAGGGGACAGGAGGGGACACAGGGGACAGCAGGGGACAGCAGGGGACAGCAGGGGACAUGAGGGGACACGAGGGGACAGCAGGGGACACGCUGGGGUCACGAGGGGACAGCAGGGGACAGCAGGGGACAGGAGGGGACACGAGGGGACACGAGGGGACACGAGGGGACAGGAGGGGACACAGGGGACAGCAGGGGACAGCAGGGGACAGCAGGGGACAUGAGGGGACACGUUGGGGUCAAGAGGGGACAGCAGGGGACACGAGGGGACAGCAGGGGACAGCAGGGGACACGAGGGGACAGGGGGGGGGGGGGGGGGGGGGGGGGGGGGGGGGGGGGGGGGGGGGGGGGGGGGGGGGGGGGGGGGGGGGGGGGGGGGGGGGGGGGGGGGGGGGGGGGGGGGGGGGGGGGGGGGGGGGGGGGGGGGGGGGGGGGGGGGGGGGGGGGGGGGGGGGGGGGGGGGGGGGGGGGGGGGGGGGGGGGGGGGCGAGGGGACAGCAGGGGACAGCAGGAGGGGACACGAGGGGACACAGGGGACACGCUGGGGUCACGAGGG